ensembl:vault_RNA Vault Vault RNA
GGACUAGUUUAGCCAAGUGGUUACUUCGGAAAUUGCCAACUCUCUAUCCUACGACCCGCGGAGUCUGGGGUUCGAGCCACUGGUGAUGUCUAGGUUUUUU